AAGUGUAGUCUUGGCGAAAUCUGUGAUUAUAGAAAUAAAAUAAUCUUUGACAAUAGAAUCAUAAUAGCAUACAAACUUAUAAUUUCAAUUAACUAUAGUCGAAUUUCGACUACCAGGGAACACUAGUACACAUAAAUUGAAGACAGUUCAAUGGAAUUUACGAGUAUUUCCGACGUAAUUGUUUAAAUGUAUAAGGAUUCCCGCCCAGAGGGAAAAAUGACCGCCCAGUGAAAUAUUAUGAAAACUUCUGUAAUAUGUAACGGAGCGCCGUUUUAGUGAUAUACUGACGUAAUUAUCUGUAUCCACGGUCGUAUGAUCUGAUAUUCACGUUAUCAGGACACGGGAAUAUAGAGUUUUAUUUCUGGGAUAUUAAAGUAGAUUUUGUGGUUCGACAAUGUUCUGCUUAAGACUUUACGGUUUUGUUAUCGAAUUUAUGUUAUGAGGAUUAUCGUGGAUGAGUAAUAGAAUAUGGUUGGGUUGAGUUUGGAGUUAAAGUGUCUUUAGCAAUCUUCGUAUGAUGCAUAUUUUAUUUUUUUCUCUCUCACUAAUCCCUAGUUCCCUAAAUGCUAAUUUAGUUGUUGACACACUGACCCGGUAGGACAUAGGAAUCCAUUCCUCUGCCAUCUUGUAGAAUUUAUCGCAUCCAUAGACACUGAAUCUAAGGAGCUGAUACUCUGUUAUAUUGAGUGGCGUAAACUACAAUUAUUUUUAUGUAAUUUUUUUUAUUUUAAUUUUUAAAUCGAAAUAUCACCUUUAUUAUUUUGCUUUUGUUUCAAGACGCAAUGAACACAUUGAGUACUAUUUAUUGUUAGUAGUAAACUUAUAGUACCAAUAGGUAAGAACGGUCAGAAAAAGCCGUUUUUUUACAUAGCAUUAAUAUAUAAAAUUUACCUAAUCUAAUAGGUCUGCCUGCAGGUCAUUAGACAGUUCUGUUAACGUUCUCCAUUAUCGUAUUGUCACUAAAGGCACUAACACUACGUCACUAAAAGCAGUAUAAAGCUCAUGAAGAACGUCUUUAUUUCUUUUUUUUUUAAUCCUACUACUAUAAAUUUAGUGAUAAUAAAACCUUAAGUGAAUAA